UACUAGAGUAGCACUCGCAUAUCAAUAAGCGGAGGAAAAGAAACUAACAAGGAUUCCCUUAGUAACGGCGAGUGAAGCGGGAAGAGCUCAAAUUUGAAAUCUUAAAGGGUUUCCCUUUACGAAUUGUAGUUUAAAGAAGUGUUUUCUGUUGAGGUUUUGGUAAAAGUUCUUUGGAAUAGGACAUCAUAGAGGGUGAGAAUCCCGUAUUUGACCUUUACUUUCAACUUUGUGAUACACUUUCAAAGAGUCGGAUUGUUUGGGGAAUGCAGUCCAAAAUGGGUGGUAAAUUUCAUCUAAAGCUAAAUAUUGGCGAGAGACCGAUAGCGAACAAGUACCGUGAGGGAAAGAUGAAAAGAACUUUGAAAAGAGAGUUAAACAGUACGUGAAAUUGUCAAAAGGGAAGCGUUUGACACCAGUGUUGUUUUUCUGAAAAUCAAUUAAAGAACUGUUUAUGCUAAGCUGUUUAGACUUUAUCAGCUAAUCUGUUAGUUUUGAGCUUUUCUUUAAUGCACUUUUCAGUUAACAAGUCAACAUCAAUUUCUUUUGCUGUAAAAAAGCUUGAGGAAGGUGGCUUGAGAUUCGUCUUAAGUGUUUAUAGCCUCUUGCCUAUGCAGUCGGAGAGAUUGAGGUCUGCAGCGUAGAUCCUUCGGGGCUAAAUGCAUUUGUGCUAAGUUAUAGCAUUUUAUAGACAACUUGUUGACUAUGAUUUGUCUUGUAGCUUACUCGCUUAUGUUAUUUUACCUACGCUUAGGAUGUUGAGCGCAUGUCUCUCUCU
rnacentral:rRNA from 1 species